GACGAAGGAUGCAAGCGUUGUCCGGAAUUAUUGGGUCGUAAGAGCUGCGUAGGCGGUUUGUUGCGACUCGACUGUGAAAACCUGGGGCUUAACUCAUGGGCUUGCAGUCGAUGACGGGCAGACUUGAGUUCGGUAGGGGAGACUGGAAUUCCUGGUGUAGCGGUGAAAUGACGCAGUAUAUCGAGAUGGAACACCUGCGGCGAAGGCGGGUUGCUGGGCCGACACUGACGCUGAUGCGCGAAAGCCAGGGGAGCGAAACGGG
rnacentral:rRNA from 1 species